rnacentral:rRNA from 1 species
AUACGGAGGGUGCGAGCGUUAAUCGGAAUUACUGGGCGUAAAGCGCGCGUAGGCGGUUUGGUCAGUCGGAUGUGAAAGCCCUAGGCUCAACCUGGGAAUGGCAUUCGAUACUGCCUGACUAGAGUAUGAUAGAGGGAAGUGGAAUUUCCGGUGUAGCGGUGAAAUGCGUAGAUAUCGGAAGGAACACCAGUGGCGAAGGCGACUUCCUGGGCCAAUACUGACGCUGAGGUGCGAAAGCGUGGGGAGCAAACAGAAUUAGAUACCCCAGUAGUCC